rnacentral:rRNA from 1 species
GAGGAAAGAGGGCGGCGUGUAUAAUACAUGCAAGUCGAGCGAACAGACGAGGAGCUUGCUCCUCUGACGUUAGCGGCGGACGGGUGAGUAACACGUGGAUAACCUACCUAUAAGACUGGGAUAACUUCGGGAAACCGGAGCUAAUACCGGAUAAUAUAUUGAACCGCAUGGUUCAAUAGUGAAAGACGGUUUUGCUGUCACUUAUAGAUGGAUCCGCGCCGCAUUAGCUAGUUGGUAAGGUAACGGCUUACCAAGGCAACGAUGCGUAGCCGACCUGAGAGGGUGAUCGGCCACACUGGAACUGAGACACGGUCCAGACUCCUACGGGAGGCAGCAGUAGGGAAUCUUCCGCAAUGGGCGAAAGCCUGACGGAGCAACGCCGCGUGAGUGAUGAAGGUCUUCGGAUCGUAAAACUCUGUUAUUAGGGAAGAACAAAUGUGUAAGUAACUAUGCACGUCUUGACGGUACCUAAUCAGAAAGCCACGGCUAACUACGUG